GUUCGAUUGGAGUUGCUCUCCUCACUGAAUAGAAGAAACUAUGGCAGCAUUUAGCAACGAUGAUAAUGAAAUCAAUGCUUUCUAAUGUACAUGCAGGUUUUAUAUAGUCGUCACAGAUCAUCCGUUUUCUGAAAACCUGGAACUGAACUCAUAGGUAGUCACUGCUUACUAUAUGAUUCUCGGAAGAAAUAGCAAAUCUGAAUAUCAAAAAACACUCGUGAUUAGUUUCAGAAAUGAUGCGAUGUCGUGAUUGUUUUGAUUUUUGAAUAUCGAAACGGCAAUGCUAGAUUCGAACUUUCAGGUUUUGAAUCGAAUCGAAUCGAAUCGAAUCGUGUUUAUUUAAGUAAUCAGUCCUUGAAAAAUCAACGGGAUUCGGAAGGUAUGUCUAACUAUCCUCUGUGCAAUUUACCAUUAGUUAGGGUUUUUUUUUCGUUAGUUGAUCAUAGUAUGUUGUUGAAUGCUCGAAGCAGAUCAUACUACAGCUACUGGAAAGCCUAAUUCGAUCUAAUAUAUGUUGCAGUAGUAAAAAGUUGAGAUACAUUAUUUUUUAGUUAAAUCUCAUCAACAAUUCAGUAUUUGUUUCUAAUGAUCUAACAGCAAUUUGUGAACAAAAAGAAGUUGUAGCCAGUAGACUUAACAUGUGGCACUAGCAACGAUUACGCCUCUAAAAGUGGAAUAAAAGUCGCGUCCAUUUGU